AGUGAACGCUGGCGGCAGGCCUAAUACAUGCAAGUCGAACGGCAGCACAGUGGAGCUUGCUCCAUGGGUGGCGAGUGGCGGACGGGUGAGUAAUACAUGGGAAUCUGCCCAGUCGUGGGGGAUAACGUAGGGAAACUUACGCUAAUACCGCAUGCGCCCUUCGGGGGAAAGCCGGGGACCUUCGGGCCUGGCGCGAUUGGAUGAGCCCAUGUUCGAUUAGCUAGUUGGCGGGGUAAAGGCCCACCAAGGCGACGAUCGAUAGCUGGUCUGAGAGGAUGAUCAGCCACACUGGGACUGAGACACGGCCCAGACUCCUACGGGAGGCAGCAGUAGGGAAUAUUGGACAAUGGGCGCAAGCCUGAUCCAGCCAUGCCGCGUGAGUGAAGAAGGCCCUCGGGUUGUAAAGCUCUUUUGUCCGGGAAGAAAAGCAUCGGGCUAAUACCUCGGUGUUCUGACGGUACCGGAAGAAUAAGCACCGGCUAACUUCGUG
rnacentral:rRNA from 1 species